CACUCCUACGGGAGGCAGCAGUGGGGAAUUUUGGACAAUGGGCGAAAGCCUGAUCCAGCCAUGCCGCGUGCAGGAUGAAGGCCUUCGGGUUGUAAACUGCUUUUGUACGGAACGAAACGGCCUUUUCUAAUAAAGAGGGCUAAUGACGGUACCGUAAGAAUAAGCACCGGCUAACUACGUGCCAGCAGCCGCGGUAGUACGUAGGGUGCAAGCGUUAAUCGGAAUUACUGGGCGUAAAGCGUGCGCAGGCGGUUAUGUAAGACAGUUGUGAAAUCCCCGGGCUCAACCUGGGAACUGCAUCUGUGACUGCAUAGCUAGAGUACGGUAGAGGGGGAUGGAAUUCCGCGUGUAGCAGUGAAAUGCGUAGAUAUGCGGAGGAACACCGAUGGCGAAGGCAAUCCCCUGGACCUGUACUGACGCUCAUGCACGAAAGCGCGGGGAGCAAACAGGAUUAGAUACCCGAGUAGUCCCA
rnacentral:rRNA from 1 species